AGUGAGCCGCGGAGGAACCGCAGAAGAAGAAGACAGCAGUGCUGCGCUGAAGUGUAGCUCAGAGUUGUUUUAAACAGCGCCACCACAUCCUCCUCAGGUCAAACAGCACAGACAUUUUGUUCUUAACUCCAUGUUUGGGUGCACUAUCACCCUACCCCAAAAUGGAGUUACUUGAAAACUUCAAAUUGUUCUCUUUUGGCAGUGGAAACAAGAAAUUACAGUGAUCACAGAUGCAUUAUGGCAGGCCAGUUUGCCACAGUCUCCUCAGCUCCACAAAGUGUGAACUGCAGGACGCCGAGAAGAAGAUGCAGCUGCUGUAUAGGCUACACUUUUCUCUGCCUCCUGCAUGGAUGGAUUAAUGAAUGGGCCUGCAGGGUACAAAGGGUCAGGGGCCCCCAAAGCUUGACCCUCUGAUGUUAGUAUUUCUCAUCAGUCAAAGGCUGCAUGUACUUGUGGGGGAAAAAAGCCCUAAAUGUCCUUCUUAAAGUCCCUCUGAAGUGUAAAAUUAUUGAAAUAUUUGAUGCAUUCUAGACAGAAGAGUAUUCAAAUUCUUUACUUAAGUGAAAGUAGCAGUACUGCAAUAUAAAAAUACUCCAUUACAGUCAAGUAAAAUUGCGUAGGUAUUAUUAGCAAAAAGCACAAACAGUACUCAUAAUGCAGAACAAUGGCCCCUGUGAGUGUUAUAAUAUUAUGUGUUAUAUUAUAUUAUUGGAUUAUUAUUACUGAUGCGUUAAUGUGUAAGUUGCAUAUUGUUGUUGUAGAUGAUCAAGAUGAAGCUAUUUAAAAUGUUAUAUACUGUUGGGUAGUUUAAUCCAUAAGAAUGCAUCAUAAUUUAAAAGAUCAUCAUAUGUUUUGUGCGAAGUAAC